GAUGAACGCUAGCGGCAGGCCUAAUACAUGCAAGUCGAGGGGCAACAGGUGUAGCAAUACAUGCUGGCGACCGGCGCACGGGUGCGUAACACGUAUGUAAUCUACCCAUUACUGGAAGAUAGCCCGGAGAAAUUCGGAUCAAUACUCCAUAACACUAUAACAUGGCAUCAUGAAGUAGUUAAAGAUUUAUCGGUAAUGGA
rnacentral:rRNA from 1 species